ACUUAACCAUUUUAAAAGCCAAACAUUAUCACAUACUCACACAUCUUCCUUUAGCAAUAUCAUAGAUACAAACAUUUAAAAUGACUAAUCCCUAUACAUCACUUAGGUAUAAACAUUACUUAGGUACAUGCCACGUUAUCAAAAGAAAGGUACAUCACUAAAGUUUCUCUGAAGUCGGGAUUACUUUGGAUGCUGGAGCGACACUGGUUUUCUACUAACCUGCACAUGGAAACAACCGUACGCUGAGCAUGGGAAUACUCAGUGGUAUUACCAUAAUUCAAAUUAAUUACAUUAAUCGAUAAAUUAUAUACAUUUAAUUUAUGUCUAUAAUUAUUCGUUAAUUGUCUCGUACUUUAAAACAACUUGAUAAUUAAUAACAAUAAGCAAUAUUUCAAUCUUGUAUUUAAUUGUAUUCAUACCUUAUUUCACUAUCUCAAUUUUAUUGGAUUUUUCAACAUUUCAUUCUAGUAACUCAUUUCAAUUCAUACAAAUUCAAUCAAUUUAUCAACUCAUUCAUUAUCAUUUCUAUUUAUAUUCAAUUUAUACUUUUAAUCAUUUAAUAAACAUUUAAUACAUUAAAUCAACUUGUUUCAACAACAAUAACAAUAAUAACUAUCUUUCAAUUCGAUUCAUUCAGUUAUAAUCAAUUUUACACUUAUAAUCUUUUAACACUCAAUUUAUACAUUAAAUCCAUAAAUAAAUUUCAAUAACUUGUAUUCAAUUAAAUUCAAGUAUUAUUUCACUAUUUCUAAUUAUUUCAUUUUCACUUCUCAUUUUUUUACAUCAUUUCAUAUUGUCAAAAAUCUAUUUCAUAAAAUUUAACCUUAUCUGUUUCUUGAACCAUAAUUCCUACCUUUCGCAUAUGUCAUAUCAUUCAGAUUUAGUUUUAUCAGUAACUUUAUUUCAUUUGCCCCUAUUAACUUGACUCGGACUCGGCGGAUACACGGAUUCCAACCAAACACACCAGUAAACAGUAAUCAGUAACGGUAGCAGUAACAAUAACAGUAACAGUAUUCAACACACAAAGUGUUGAAUCUGUAACAGUAACAGUAAUAGUAUUCGACACACAAAGUGCCGAGUCGGUAACAGUAACAGUAACAGUAUUCGACACACAAAGUGCCGAAUCAGUAACAGUAACAGUAGUCGGCACAUAAGUGCCUUACCAGUAAGCCGACAAAUACCCUGUACUCUUCCAUAUCCUAUGGCGUGCCAACUAUAUCCGACUAGCCCGACUAGUUAAUAGGGUAUUUAAAUUCACUUUUCAGUAUAAUUUCCAUCUUAGUUCAGUAUCAAUUAUAAAUUCCUUAUUUCAAUCAGUUUCACAAUAUUACAGUAAUUUAUUACUUCAGUAAUUUCAUAAUUCAAUGCAUUAUACAUAACAAUAUUCAGUAUUUUCACAACUCACUCAAUACUCAAAACAAUAUCAAGUAUUUCAUAAUUCAGUUCAGUAUCAGUCUCACAUAUCAAUUUCCACUUUCUCAAUCCAGUUCCAAUAAAAUCCAUAUCAAUCACCAAUUUCAAUAUUCCAGUUCAAUUCAAUGAUUCAAUUCAAACCAUUUCAAUUUCUAUUCAAUAAUCACAUUUCAAUUUCACUUUCUCAAUUCAAUAUUCAUCUCAUUUACUCACGUACAAUCACAAUUCAAUCUAAUUUCAUUCAGUUCAAUAUCAAUACUUAAUUUCAAUAAUUAUAUUUACUAGAAAUCUACUCCAUACAAAGCAAUAUUAUCAUACCAAAUUUCUUACCUUAUUUAUUUACCAUACAUUCUAAUUAAAACACAAUAAUUAAUAAUAAUUAGAUUUGAAUUAUGGUAAUACUAACCGAAAUUUCUCUCGAGUCACUCCUUGUUCACCUUCUCCUUUCCUUUCUCGGACAAUAACUCUUGCACGACAUUAGCUACGUAAUUAAACAAUUAAAAAUCAUUAAUACACAAUUUCAUUAAAAUAGUUCCUUUUGUACCUAAACUUUACCCAAAUUCUAAUUUAAUCCCUUAUCAAUAUUAAUUUUAUUUUCUCAUUCUAACUCCAUAUUCUCUCUUAAUUCUUACUACAAACUCAAUUUAGCUCUUCAAUUUCACCAUAAAUCCCUAAUUUCGGGAUUCUUUCAAUUUAGUCCCUCCUUUUCAAAACUUACACUUUAUUUUACAAUUAAAUCCUUUACUAACUUCUAACUUGAAAUUAAAUCAAUUUAACCCCUAACACUUCAAUUUAUUCAACAUGAAUAACAUCUAAUAAUCAACUAACUUUCAAAAUAUCAACAUAAAUCAAGUAGUAUUUAUCUCUAGGAUUCCUAAAACAUCAAAACUAAGAGAAAAUGGACUAAAUUGACUUACCAAAUGAGCUUAGAACCUCAAAACCUCAAUUUUCUCUUUUCUUUCUUUCCUUCUUUCCUUCUCUGUUUCGUCCAUGCUAUUCUGUUUCUAUUCUCU
rnacentral:lncRNA from 1 species